AUUGAACGCUGGCGGCAGGCUUAACACAUGCAAGUCGAGCGGGGAAAAGUAGCUUGCUACUGGACCUAGCGGCGGACGGGUGAGUAAUGCUUAGGAAUCUGCCUAUUAGUGGGGGACAACAUCUCGAAAGGGAUGCUAAUACCGCAUACGUCCUACGGGAGAAAGCAGGGGACCUUCGGGCCUUGCGCUAAUAGAUGAGCCUAAGUCGGAUUAGCUAGUUGGUGGGGUAAAGGCCUACCAAGGCGACGAUCUGUAGCGGGUCUGAGAGGAUGAGCCGCCACACUGGGACUGAGACGCGGCCCAGACUCCUACGGGAGGCAGCAGUGGGGAAUAUUGGACAAUGGGGGGAACCCUGAUCCAGCCAUGCCGCGUGUGUGAAGAAGGCCUUUUGGUUGUAAAGCACUUUAAGCGAGGAGGAGGCUACCGAGAUUAAUACUCUUGGAUAGUGGACGUUACUCGCAGAAUAAGCACCGGCUAACUCUGUGCCAGCAGCCGCCGUAA
rnacentral:rRNA from 1 species